rnacentral:rRNA from 1 species
GAUGAACGCUGACAGAAUGCUUAACACAUGCAAGUCUACUUGAACUUCGGUUUGGGUGGCGGACGGGUGAGUAACGCGUAAAGAACUUGCCUCACAGUUAGGGACAACAUUUGGAAACGAAUGCUAAUACCUGAUAUUAUGAUUUUAGGGCAUCCUAAGAUUAUGAAAGCUAUAUGCGCUGUGAGAGAGCUUUGCGUCCCAUUAGCUAGUUGGAGAGGUAACGGCUCACCAAGGCGAUGAUGGGUAGCCGGCCUGAGAGGGUGAACGGCCACAAGGGGACUGAGACACGGCCCUUACUCCUACGGGAGGCAGCAGUGGGGAAUAUUGGACAAUGGACCAAAAGUCUGAUCCAGCAAUUCUGUGUGCACGAUGACGUUUUUCGGAAUGUAAAGUGCUUUCAGUUGGGAAGAAAAAAAUGACGGUACCAACAGAAGAAGUGACGGCUAAAUACGUGCCAGCAGCCGCGGUAAUACGUAUGCCACAAGCGUUAUCCGGAUUUAUUGGGCGUAAAGCGCGUCUAGGUGGUUAUGUAAGUCUGAUGUGAAAAUGCAGGGCUCAACUCUGUAUUGCGUUGGAAACUGCAUGACUAGAGUACUGGAGAGGUAAGCGGAACUACAAGUGUAGAGGUGAAAUUCGUAGAUAUUUGUAGGAAUGCCGAUGGGGAAGCCAGCUUACUGGACAGAUACUGACGCUAAAGCGCGAAAGCGUGGGUAGCAAACAGG